rnacentral:rRNA from 1 species
CCUACGGGUGGCAGCAGUGGGGAAUAUUGCACAAUGGGCGCAAGCCUGAUGCAGCGACGCCGCGUGGGGGAUGACGGCCUUCGGGUUGUAAACUCCUUUCGCUAGGGACGAAGCUUUUUGUGACGGUACCUAGAUAAGAAGCACCGGCUAACUACGUGCCAGCAGCCGCGGUAAUACGUAGGGUGCGAGCGUUGUCCGGAAUUACUGGGCGUAAAGGGCUCGUAGGUGGUUUGUCGCGUCGUCUGUGAAAUUCCGGGGCUUAACUCCGGGCGUGCAGGCGAUACGGGCAUAACUUGAGUACUGUAGGGGUAACUGGAAUUCCUGGUGUAGCGGUGAAAUGCGCAGAUAUCAGGAGGAACACCGAUGGCGAAGGCAGGUUACUGGGCAGUUACUGACGCUGAGGAGCGAAAGCAUGGGUAGCGAACAGGAUUAGAUACCCCUGUAGUC